CCUAGCUGGUCUGAGAGGAUGACCAGCCACACUGGAACUGAGACACGGUCCAGACUCCUACGGGAGGCAGCAGUGGGGAAUAUUGCACAAUGGGCGCAAGCCUGAUGCAGCCAUGCCGCGUGUAUGAAGAAGGCCUUCGGGUUGUAAAGUACUUUCAGCGGGGAGGAAGGGGGAAUGGUUAUUUCAUUGACGUUACCCGCAGAAGAAGCACCGGCUAACGUGCCAGCAGCCGCGGUAAUACGGAGGGUGCAAGCGUUAAUCGGAAUUACUGGGCGUAAAGCGCACGCAGGCGGUCUGUCAAGUCGGAUGUGAAAUCCCCGGGCUCAACCUGGGAACUGCAUCCGAAACUGGCAGGCUUGAGUCU
rnacentral:rRNA from 1 species